rnacentral:rRNA from 1 species
AAUGAACGUUGGCGGCGUGGAUUAGGCAUGCAAGUCGAGCGAGAAGAGUUUGGUAGCUUGCUAUUGAACUCGGAAAGCGGCGAAAGGGAGAGUAAUGCGUAGUUACGUGCCCAGGGGUUCGGAAUAGCCACGGGAAACUGUGGGUAAUGCCGAAUAACAUCUCCGGAUCAAAGGUGUGAUUCCGCCCCUGGAGCGGACUGCGUCCUACUAGCUAGUUGGCGGGGUAAUGGCCCACCAAGGCAACAAUGGGUAGCGGGUGUGAGAGCAUGACCCGUCUCACUGGGACUGAGACACUGCCCAGACACCUACGGGUGGCUGCAGUCGAGAAUCGUCGGCAAUGGGCGAAAGCCUGACCGAGCGACGCCGCGUGCGGGAUGAAGGCCCUCGGGUUGUAAACCGCUGUCGUAGGGGAGGAAGGCUCCGUGAAGAACGGGGUUUGACCUAUCCUAGGAGGAAGUACGGGCUAAGUUCGUGCCAGCCGCCGCCGUAACAC